CGAUGCCUUACACAUGCAAGUACGAACGGUAACGGCCGUUCGGGUGCCGACGAGUGGCGAACGGGUGAGUAAUGUAUCGGAACGUACCUUUCGAGUGGGGAUAACGUAGCGAAAGUUACGCUAAUACCGCAUAUUCUGUGCGCAGGAAAGCAGGGGGAUCGCAAGACCUUGCGCUGAUUGAGCGGCCGAUAUCAGAUUAGCUAGUUGGUGAGGUAAAGGCUCACCAAGGCGACGAUCUGUAGCGGGUCUGAGAGGAUGAUCCGCCACACUGGAACUGAGACACGGUCCAGACUCCUACGGGAGGCAGCAGUGGGGAAUUUUGGACAAUGGGGGCAACCCUGAUCCAGCCAUGCCGCGUGAGUGAAGAAGGCCUUCGGGUUGUAAAGCUCUUUCGGCCGGGAAGAAAUCGUAUCAGCUAAUACCUGGUGCGGAUGACGGUACCGGCAUAAGAAGCACCGGCUAACUACGUGCCAGCAGCCGCGGUAAUACGUAGGGUGCGAGCGUUAAUCGGAAUUACUGGGCG
rnacentral:rRNA from 1 species